UGAAGACCAAGGUUGACCCAACAUUCUCCCCCUCAACCUUGUCGAAAGAGUUUGAUGUCGAUGAUUCCGACCUUGUCCUGUAAGUUCCUGAAGAAUGGACACGACCAAGUGCCUUCAUCGGUAUUUCCGCUCUCUCGGGCUUUGUGUAGCCUGUACGCCCUGGUCGUGCUUUGCCACCAGAGUGAAGAUCUCCUACAAGUUCUCCCCCAGCACUUACGUCACAUCCUAGGUUCACUAGUAAGCCACGUUUCUACCACUGACCAGCCCAAUACUUCCCAGCUAAGUAUAUGCUUCUGCGGCCGAUGCAUGUGUGCAUGCAUAUUGCCGACAUGCAGCCAUUGAAGACCAAGGUUGACCCAACAUUCUCCCCCUCAACCUUGUCGAAAGAGUUUGAUGUCGAUGAUUCCGACCUUGUCCUGUAAGUUCCUGAAGAAUGGACACGACCAAGUGCUUUCGUCGGUAUUUCCGCCUUCUCAGGCUUUGUGUAGCCUGUACGCCCUCGUCGUGCUUUGCCACCAGAGUGAAGAUCUCCUACAAGAUCUCCCCUGCACUUACGUCACAUCCUAGGUUCACUAGUAAGCCACGUUUCUACCACUGACCAGCCCAAUACUUCCUAGCUAAGUAUAUUCUUCUGCUGCCGAUGCAUGUGUGCAUGCAUAUUGCCGACAUGCAGCCUUUGAAGACCAAGGUUGACCCAACAUUCUCCCCCUCAACCUUGUCGAAAGAGUUUAAUGUCGAUGGUUCCGACCAUGUCCUGUAAGUUCCUGAAGAAUGGACACGACCAAGUGCCUUUGUCGGUAUGUCCGCCUUCUCAGGCUUUGUGUAGCCUGCGCGCCCUGGUCAUGCUUUGCCACCAGAGUGAAGAUCUCCUACAAGUUCUCCCCCAGUACUUACGUCACAUCCUAGGUUCACUAGUAAGCCACGUUUCUACCACUGACCAGCCCAAUACUCCUAGCUAAGUAUAUGCUUCUACAGCCGAUGCAUGUGUGCAUGCAUAUUGCCGACAUGCAACCUUUGAAGACCAAGGUUGACCCAACAUUCUCCCCCUCAA
rnacentral:lncRNA from 1 species